rnacentral:rRNA from 1 species
UACGGAGGGUGCGAGCGUUAUCCGGAAUCACUGGGUUUAAAGGGUGCGUAGGCGGCGAGGUAAGUCAGUUGUGAAAUACCCCGGCUCAACCGGCGGGAGUGCGAUUGAUACUGCUUUGCUUGAAACAGGUUGAGGUAAGCGGAAUGUGGCAUGUAGCGGUGAAAUGCAUAGAUAUGCCAUAGAACACCGAUUGCGAAGGCAGCUUGCUGGGCCUGAUUUGACGCUGAGGCACGAAAGCGUGGGGAGCAAACAGG